rnacentral:rRNA from 1 species
GAUGAACGCUGGCGGCGUGCCUAAUACAUGCAAGUCGAGCGAACGGACGAGAAGCUUGCUUCUCUGAUGUUAGCGGCGGACGGGUGAGUAACACGUGGAUAACCUACUUAUAAGACUGGGAUAACUUCGGGAAAGCGGAGCUAAUCCGGGAUAAUAUUUUGAACCGCAUGGUUCAAAAGUGAAAGACGGUCUUGCUGGCAGGUAUAGAUGGAUCCGCGCUGCAUUAGCUAGUUGGGAAGGUAACGGCUUACCACGGCAACGAUGCAUAGCCGAGCUGAGAGGGUGGUAGGCCACCUUGGAGCUGAGACAGGCACAUGACUCCUGAGGGAGGCAGCAGUCUGCAAUCUUCCGCAAUGGGCGAGAGCCUGACGGAGCAAGCCCGCGUGAGUGAUGACGGUCUUCCGAUCGUAAAACCCUCUUAUGAGGGAUGAACAUAUGUGUAAGUAAAUGAGCACAUCUUGACGGUACCUAAUCAGAAAGCCACGGCUAACUACGUG